rnacentral:rRNA from 1 species
GAUGAACGCUGGCGGCGUGCCUAAUACAUGCAAGUCGAGCGAACAGACGAGGAGCUUGCUCCUCUGACGUUAGCGGCGGACGGGUGAGUAACACGUGGAUAACCUACCUAUAAGACUGGGAUAACUUCGGGAAACCGGAGCUAAUACCGGAUAAUAUAUUGAACCGCAUGGUUCAAUAGUGAAAGACGGUUUUGCUGUCACUUAUAGAUGGAUCCGCGCCGCAUUAGCUAGUUGGUAAGGUAACGGCUUACCAAGGCAACGAUGCAUAGCCGACCUGAGAGGGUGAUCGGCCACACUGGAACUGAGACACGGUCCAGACUACUACGGGAGGCAGCAGUAGGGAAUCUUCCGCAAUGGGCGAAAGCCUGACGGAGCAACGCCGCGUGAGUGAUGAAGGUCUUCGGAUCGUAAAACUCUGUUAUUAGGGAAGAACAUAUGUGUAAGUAACUGUGCACAUCUUGACGGUACCUAAUCAGAAAGCCACGGCUAACUACGUG